UACGUAUGGGGCGAGCGUUAUCCGGAAUCAUUGGGCGUAAAGCGCGCGUAGGCGGCUGUCCAAGCGGGGCGUCAAAUCCCGGGGCUCAACCCCGGGCCGCGCCCCGAACUGGGCGGCUUGAGUCCGGUAGGGGGAGGCGGAAUUCCCGGUGUAGCGGUGAAAUGCGCAGAUAUCGGGAAGAACACCGGUGGCGAAGGCGGCCUCCCGGGCCGCGACUGACGCUGAGGCGCGAAAGCUAGGGGAGCGAACA
rnacentral:rRNA from 1 species